AUACAGCCCCGGUAGCAGUGGAAAUCCUGUGGAGCGUAGCGGAGCAGAUUGAAACGGAUGACGGGACCGCGU
rnacentral:misc_RNA from 1 species